ACUAGGAGUAGAAGCGGUCUGUAAUAGCGAGCCAUUGAGAGUCUCAAGCUAUUGCUGGACAUUGCUCCAAUA
rfam:Vibrio sp. EJY3 chromosome 1, complete sequence.